rnacentral:rRNA from 1 species
AGUGAACGCUGGCGGUAGGCCUAACACAUGCAAGUCGAACGGCAGCACAGUAAGAGCUUGCUCUUACGGGUGGCGAGUGGCGGACGGGUGAGGAAUACAUCGGAAUCUACUUUUUCGUGGGGGAUAACGUAGGGAAACUUACGCUAAUACCGCAUACGACCUACGGGUGAAAGCAGGGGAUCUUCGGACCUUGCGCGAUUGAAUGAGCCGAUGUCGGAUUAGCUAGUUGGCGGGGUAAAGGCCCACCAAGGCGACGAUCCGUAGCUGGUCUGAGAGGAUGAUCAGCCAAACUGGAACUGAGACACGGCCCAGACUCCUACGGGAGGCAGCAGUGGGGAAUAUUGGACAAUGGGCGCAAGCCUGAUCCAGCCAUACCGCGUGGGUGAAGAAGGCCUUCGGGUUGUAAAGCCCUUUUGUUGGGAAAGAAAAGCAGCAGGUUAAUACCCCGCUGUUCUGACGGUACCCAAAGAAUAAGCACCGGCUAACUUCGUG